CUUCCUGUAUACGUGAGAAUUUUGUGUACAUCAUCAUGAUGCCCAGCCCAAGUUUUGAAGUAGUCGGACGUAGCCGUUAAGCCACUUCGGAGGUCAACAUCAACCCAGAAGAACAUUUGUUUUGUCUGUUUCAAAACACCAGAUACAUACACGCGGUCUUAAUUUACCAUAUAAGACAUUUUAUUUUGCUAUCAGUUGAGUAUUUGUGAGAAGAAGAGUUAAGAACGCAUCACACGACGAACGCGAAAGUCGUUUUUUUAUAACAUCCAAAACUUAUUGUAAGAAUGCCAGCAGACGACAAAGAAGUUAGUCUUGGAGACAGGUGGAACCCGGCGUACAUUUCCUUACAUAAAAUCAAUUUCUGAGGUCACGCUAUGGUACCUGUACAAUAUGUUUAUAGUUACGUUGUUUUGAUAUGUUUGUUGGAUAUAUAUCCGGUGCCAGUGGUCAAAGCUAGCGACAAUUCUAUCAAAAUGUGCAAUUCGACUAAAAUAGAUCAAAUAAAUUGCGCAAGGAAUUCCUCCGUUUCGCAAAAUGAUACAAAA